rnacentral:lncRNA from 1 species
ACGAAGAUGUUGAGCCACUACAGGUGGCAGGCACACUCUUCUGGGUCAGGGCUCUAUUGUGCUGCAUUUGUAUUUCUUUCUCACUGCCAGCCUCUUUGUUGCUGUUUUAAUUACAGAAACAUCCAGGCCAGAUUUUACAACUAGACUCUAGGUAGAAUAGUAUCAUCUAAGAAACAGUGAUCUCAGAUACUGAGCUGACUAUCUUGUGUGUGUGUGGGGGGGGGGGGGGGGGGUGUCUUGUGUCUUUAUCUCUGCGUCUGCACUGGCAGGAGACAGAUAUUAAAAAGUAGGUUGGCUGGGCUGGAGAGAUGGCUCAGCAGUUAAGAGCACUGACUGCUCUUCCAGAGGUUCUGAGUUGGAUUCCCAGCAACCACAUGGUGGCUCACAACCAUCUGUAAUGGAAUCCUAUGCCCUCUUCUAGACUGUCUGAACAGCGACAGUGUUUUCAUAUACAUAAAAUAAUAAAUAAAUCUUUAAAAAAAAAAAGUGAGGUUGGCACACCUGCACACAGAAACUGGGGUGACGUUUAACCAGGGCAAAAAAGUAUUUGAAAGUUUAUUCAACGUUGAUUCCCAGUUCAUUUACCACUAAAUGUUUAACUGAAGCACAAAUACCAUCAAAGACACACAGAAAACAUUUUUGCAGGGAGAAAACAUUGCAUCUGUUUACUGUUUGCCUUCACUCACAAGAGGUGGUGAGCAAUGACUGGAUCAUUUUCCUAGGUAUGAAAUGCCUGACCCUUCC